AAUCAACGCUGGCGGCGUGCCUAACACAUGCAAGUCGAACGCGAAAGUCCCGCAAGGGAUGAGUAGAGUGGCAAACGGGUGAGUAACGCGUGGGUGACCUGCCUUCGAGCGGGGGAUAACGCUCCGAAAGGGACGCUAAUACCGCAUAACAUCCCGCCUUUGAACAGGCGGAAAUCAAAGCUGGGGAUCGCAAGACCCAGCACUUGAAGAGGGGCCCGCGUCUGAUUAGCAGUUGGUGAGGUAACGGCUCACCAAGGCGACGAUCAGUAUCCGGCCUGAGAGGGCGGACGGACACACUGGGACUGAGACACGGCCCAGACUCCUACGGGAGGCAGCAGUGGGAAUUUUUCGCAAUGGGGGAAACCCUGACGAAGCAACGCCGCGUGGAGGAUGAAGGCCU
rnacentral:rRNA from 1 species